rnacentral:misc_RNA from 1 species
AAGUCGUAACAAGGUUUCCGUAGGUGAACCUGCGGAAGGAUCAUUAACACUAACUUUCUUAUCAACCUAGUUGCAUCCGUCAGAGCCUUUUAAUGCAGAGGUCGACUAGACAAUGGUUGGGUUUCUUUCGGUUCGGUCUAGUCUGCUGUGUAAGUUAGCCCGUCUUUCUUCUUCGUAAGAUAAGAAAGGCGAUCGGUCUGACGCUCUGUCUUAGAAGGUAUACAGUCUCCAACCAUGGCUGGCCCCAUUUUUUUUUUUCAACCUUGACUAUUGUACUGAUUUGGGCUUCCGAUCGAGAGGAGCAAUCCUUUCUCUCAAGCUUUUGAUGGAUUCAUCCAUUAAUUAACCAAAACACAACUCUUAACAGUGGAUAUCUCGGUUCUC